rnacentral:rRNA from 1 species
GAUCAUGGCUCAGGAUAAACGCUGGCGGCGCACAUAAGACAUGCAAGUCGAACGGAAGUCGUUGUAAUGAUAUAGACAUGGACUGAGAACUUGUUCAAAGAAAGUGAAAGUUGACUUACAACAAUGGCUUUAGUGGCGGACUGGUGAGUAACACGUAAGCAACCUGCCUAUCAGAGGGGAACAACAGUUAGAAAUGACUGCUAAUACCGCAUAUGCCUAAGUAUCAC